CCUACGGGUGGCAGCAGUGGGGAAUAUUGGACAAUGGGCGAAAGCCUGAUCCAGCCAUGCCGCGUGUGUGAAGAAGGCCUUCGGGUUGUAAAGCACUUUCAGUGGGGAAGAAAGCCUUGGGGCUAAUACCCUCGAGGAAGGACAUCACCCACAGAAGAAGCACCGGCUAACUCCGUGCCAGCAGCCGCGGUAAUACGGAGGGUGCGAGCGUUAAUCGGAAUUACUGGGCGUAAAGCGCGCGUAGGCGGUCUGAUAAGCCGGUUGUGAAAGCCCCGGGCUCAACCUGGGAACGGCAUCCGGAACUGUCAGGCUAGAGUGCAGGAGAGGAAGGUAGAAUUCCCGGUGUAGCGGUGAAAUGCGUAGAGAUCGGGAGGAAUACCAGUGGCGAAGGCGGCCUUCUGGACUGACACUGACGCUGAGGUGCGAAAGCGUGGGUAGCAAACAGGAUUAGAUACCCCUGUCGUC
rnacentral:rRNA from 1 species